AGCAGCCGCGGUAAUUCCAGCUCCAAUAGCGUAUAUUAAAGUUGUUGCAGUUAAAAAGCUCGUAGUUGAAUUUCGGGAUCACCAGGUUGGUCGUGCCUCCGGUAUGUACUUGCUUCGGUGGUCCCUCCUUCUUGAAGAACCGUAAUGCCAUUAAUUUGGUGUUGCGGGGAAAAAGGACUGUUACUUUGAAAAAAUUAGAGUGUUUAAAGCAGGCAAUCGCUUGAAUACAUUAGCAUGGAAUAAUGAAAUAGGACGUUCGAUCCUAUUUUGUUGGUUUCUAGGAUUGACGUAAUGAUUAAUAGGGAUAGUUGGGGGCAUUAGUAUUCAAUUGUCAGAGGUGAAAUUCUUGGAUUUAUUGAAGACUAACUACUGCGAAAGCAUUUGCCAAGGAUGUUUUCAUUAAUCAAGAACGAAAGUUAGGGGAUCGAAGACGAUCAGAUACCGUCGUAGUCUUAACCAUAAACUAUGC
rnacentral:rRNA from 1 species